rnacentral:rRNA from 1 species
CCUACGGGCGGCUGCAGUCGAGGAUCUUCGGCAAUGGGCGAAAGCCUGACCGAGCGACGCCGCGUGCGGGAUGAAGGCCUUCGGGUUGUAAACCGCUUUCGGAGGGGAGGAAAUCGAGGAGGGAUCACCCUUCUCGUUGACCUAUCCUAAGAAGAAGGACGGGCUAAGUUCGUGCCAGCAGCCGCGGUAAUACGAACCGUCCAAACGUUAUUCGGUAUUGCUGGGCUUGAAGGGUCGGUAGGCGGCUCGGGAAAUCCCUCGGCUUAACCGAGGAAUUGCGCCCAAAACUGCCGGGCUUGAGGGAGAUAGAGGUGAGCGGAACUUAGGGUGGAGCGGUGAAAUGCGUUGAUAUCCUAAGGAACACCGGUGGCGAAAGCGGCUCACUGGGUCUCUUCUGACGCUGAGGCACGAAAGCUAGGGUAGCGAACGGGAUUAGAUACCCGGGUAGUC